AGAUUGAACGCUGGCGGCAUGCUUUACACAUGCAAGUCGAGCGGCAGCGCGGGGGCAACCCUGGCGGCGAGCGGCGAACGGGUGAGGAACACAUCGGAACGUGCCCCGGAGUGGGGGAUAACGCCGCGAAAGCGGCGCUAAUACCGCAUAUGCUCUGAGGAGGAAAGCGGGGGACCUGGCGAGGGCCUCGCGCUCGUGGGAGCGGCCGAUGUCCGAUUAGCUAGUUGGUGGGUAAUGGCUCACCAAGGCAACGAUCGGUAGCUGGUCUGAGAGGAUGAUCAGCCACACUGGGACUGAGACACGGCCCAGACUCCUACGGGAGCAGCAGGUGGGUAAUUUUGGGACAAGGUGGGGCAACCGUGACUCCAGCCAUCGGCCGCGUGGACGGGAAGGACGGUCCCGUU
rnacentral:rRNA from 1 species